rnacentral:tRNA from 1 species
ACCUGGGUGGCUCAGUUGGUUGAGUGUUUGACUUUGGCUCAAGUCACCAUCCCACAGUUCAUGAGUUCAAGCCCCAUGUCAGGCU